rnacentral:rRNA from 1 species
UACGGAGGAUCCGAGCGUUAUCCGGAUUUAUUGGGUUUAAAGGGUGCGCAGGCGGGAUGUUAAGUCGGCGGUGAAAUUUUGCAGCUCAACUGUAAAAGUGCCUUCGAUACUGGCUUUCUUGAGUGUGGAUGAAGUAGGCGGAAUUUGUGGUGUAGCGGUGAAAUGCUUAGAUAUCACGAGGAACUCCGAUUGCGCAGGCAGCUUACUAAACCACUACUGACGCUCAUGCACGAAGGCGUGGGGAUCAAACAGGAUUAGAUACCCCU